rnacentral:rRNA from 1 species
UUCCGGUUGAUCCUGCCGGACCCUAUUGCUAUCGGGAUAAGACUAAGCCAUGCUAGUUGUGCGCUUCCUAGCUAUGUUGGAAGAGCAGCAAACGGCUCCGUAACACGUAGUUAAUCUGCCCUUAGGACAGACAUAACCUUGGGAAACUGAGGCUAAUAUCUGAUAGGUGGAAACGCCUGGAAUGGUCUUCCGCUUAAAGGUUUUUGGAGACAUGCCUCCAAGAAUGCCUAAGGAUGAGACUGCGGCCGAUCAGGCUGUUGGUGGGGUAACGGCUCACCAAACCUAUAACCGGUACGGGCCCUGAGAGGGGGAGCCCGGAGAUGGGAACUGAGACAAGGUCCCAGGCCCUACGGGGCGCAGCAGGCGCGAAACCUCCACAAUGCGCGAAAGCGUGAUGGGGUUAUCCCGAGUGCCGUCCGUUGAGGAGGGCUUUUCCCCAGUGUAAGGAGCUGGGGGAAUAAAGGGGGGGCAAGACUGGUGUCAGCCGCCGCGGUAAUACCAGCCCCCUGAGUUAUAGGGACGAUUAUUUAGCCUAAAGCGUUCGUAGCCGGCUCAGCAAGUCUUUCGUUAAAUCUAACGACUCAAUCGUUAGGCCGCGGAAGAUACUACUAGGCUUGAGGACGGGAGAGGUCGACGGUAUUCCCGGUGUAGGGGUGAAAUCCAAUAAUCCCGGGAGGACCACCAGUGGCGAAGGCGGUCGACCAGAACGUGCCUGACGGUGAUGGACGAAAGCUGGGGGAGCAAACCGGAUUAGACACCCGGGUAGUCCCAGCUGUAAACGAUGCGAGCUAGGUGUUGGGGUAGCCACGAGCUGUCCCAGUGCCGCAGAGAAGUUGUUAAGCUCGCCGCUUGGGGAGUACGGCCGCAAGGUUGAAACUUAAAGGAAUUGGCGGGGGAGCACCACAAGGGGUGAAGCCUGCGGUUUAAUUGGAGUCAACGCCGGA